rnacentral:rRNA from 1 species
UACGAAGGGGGCUAGCGUUGUUCGGAAUUACUGGGCGUAAAGCGAACGUAGGCGGUGUUCCAUGUCAGAGGUGAAAGCCUGGGGCUCAACUCCAGAAUUGCCUUUGAAACGGGAACGCUUGAGUCCGAGAGAGGGUGGCGGAAUUCCUAGUGUAGAGGUGAAAUUCGUAGAUAUUAGGAAGAACACCAGUGGCGAAGGCGGCCACCUGGCUCGGUACUGACGCUGAGGUGCGAAAGCGUGGGGAGCAAACAGG